UUCACCCCGCUCAUGACGACGUUGUUGAUGCUGACUUCCCCGUACCAGUACCAGGUCUCCUAGCAGGAAGCACAAAGAAGGGAGGGGGGAUUCAGUGCAUGUCCUUCGGCUUUACCGAAAAAGAGGCCACAGCAAGCGGUGCAGAGAGUGAUACGAUUCCCAGUUUCAGGCAGCAGCUGGUUGCGCAUUUCUGGAGCUCUCCCCCCGCCGCAAGGCCCAUCUCCUCACAGUGCUGCAGGGUUCGUUUUGCACAAGAUUUUGGUGGGCCCAGUUGCAGGAACAUGCCUGACAUCAAACAGCAUCAGCCCUGCUUAGGUCAACACAGAUGAGAGAUCGGAAAGGAUGCAGUUACCCUCGGCUCUUGAACUAGGAAUUGGCAGCUGCACAAGAAAAUAAACCAGAUCUGCAAGCA